UCAAACAGGACUGUCCUCUGUUUCCUCUCUCUGAGGCUCCUGUUUUGGCUCAGAGAAGAUUUAACGCUCUCCAGGCGAGGCGUCUUUCACCUGUCUGCAGCUGCAGUGCGUCUGUCAUUAAACCAGCCCUGUCACAGGUCCGCUCCUGAUGGAUCCUCCUGCAGCUGCAAGAUCAGGAGAUCAUUUAGGACAUGAUCAGAUAGCAGCCGGAGUACCCGGAGAGAACCCACGCAUGCUCAGGGAGAACAUGCAAACUCCAUGCAGAAAGACUCUGGGCCGGGAAUCGAACCCAGAACCUUGUUGCUGCAAAGCAGCAGUGCUAUCCACUGCGUCACUCAGCAGCCCCUUCUUUCCCAUAUUAAACUGAAAUAAAAUUUAAAAAUCAGCUAA